rnacentral:rRNA from 1 species
AACGAACGCUGGCGGCAUGCCUAACACAUGCAAGUCGAACGAAGUCUUCGGACUUAGUGGCGCACGGGUGCGUAACGCGUGGGAAUCUGCCCUUGGCUUCGGAAUAACAGUUAGAAAUGACUGCUAAUACCGGAUGAUGUCUUCGGACCAAAGAUUUAUCGGCCAGGGAUGAGCCCGCGUAGGAUUAGGUAGUUGGUGGGGUAAAGGCCUACCAAGCCGACGAUCCCUAGCUGGUCUGAGAGGAUGAUCAGCCACACUGGGACUGAGACACGGCCCAGACUCCUACGGGAGGCAGCAGUGGGGAAUAUUGGACAAUAGACGCAAGUCUGAUCCAGCAAUGCCGCGUGAGUGAUGAAGGCCUUAGGGUUGUAAAGCUCUUUUACCAGGGAUGAUAAUGACAGUACCUGGAGAAUAAGCUCCGGCUAACUCCGUGCCAGCCGCCGCGGUAAUAC